rnacentral:rRNA from 1 species
AUACGUAGGUGACAAGCGUUAUCCGGAUUUACUGGGCGUAAAGGGCGUGUAGGCGGUCUUGCAAGUCAGAAGUGAAAUUCCUGAGCUCAACUCGGGCGCUGCUUCUGAAACUGCAGGACUUGAGUGCUGGAGGGGAUAGCGGAAUUCCUAGUGGAGCGGUAAAAUGCGCAGAUAUUAGGAAGAACACCGGUGGCGAAGGCGGCUAGCUGGACAGUAACUGACGCUGAGGCGCGAAAGCGUGGGGAGCAAACAGGAUUAGAUGCCCUGGUAGUCCACGCCGUAAACGAUGAAUACUAGGUGUAGGGGGUAUCGACUCCCUCUGUGCCGCAGUUAACACAAUAAGUAUUCCGCCUGGGGAGUACGGCCGCAAGGUUGAAACUCAAAUGAAUUGACGGGG